CCCGUUCCCAUUCCGAACACGGCAGUUAAGCCCUCCAUCGCCAAUGAUACUGCGGAGGAGUCCGUGGGAAAGUAGGUCGCUGCCAGGG
rnacentral:rRNA from 1 species